UACGUAGGGGGCAAGCGUUGUCCGGAAUCAUUGGGCGUAAAGCGCGUGUAGGCGGCCCGGUAAGUCCGCUGUGAAAGUCCAGGGCUCAACCCUGGAAUGCCGGUGGAUACUGUCGGGCUCGAGUCCGGAAGAGGCGAGUGGAAUUCCUGGUGUAGCGGUGAAAUGCGCAGAUAUCAGGAAGAACACCAAUGGCGAAGGCAGCUCUCUGGGACGGUACUGACGCUGAGACGCGAAAGCGUGGGGAGCGAACAGG
rnacentral:rRNA from 1 species